GGCGUGGGGAGAAGAAGCCGAUGGAGGGUGGCGCUUGGAGCGGGGAUUAUAUCCCUACGGCAAACCCCCCCGGCGGAUGCUCGUGGUCCCGCGGUGCUUUGAGACAGACUCACGGCCGGCCGUGGUUGAGUCCAAUGGGUGAGGUGGGGCACGAGCUCUACAACCCAAUUCAGACUACUCUCUCCCGGA
rnacentral:RNase_P_RNA from 2 species